UUCAGAAUGGGAGUGAGGCCCUAAUGAUUCUAGAUGACCAAACUAACAAACUGAAAUCGGGUGUUGACCAGAUGGAUUUGUUUGGGGACAUGUCUACACCUCCUGACCUAAAUAGUCCAACAGUAAGUGUUUGUUUUUAAAUUUGCAAUGUAAUAAAAUGACAUCUAUAACUCAAAUUGGCAAUAACCAGAAAUCUUAAGCAUCUCAUUGAAACUUGGAAGGUGACUGUUGAUUUUUGCAAAUGAAGUGUCAAUGGUUUUUAGAAUAAAUGUGAAUCUUAAGUCACCAUGGGAACCUAUCCACACUAAUUCAGUUAUAUUAAUAUUGCUUACAGAUUAAACCUGAACAAUAAGUCAGCAAUGUAGUCCUUCUUGGUAUCACUUAGGAUUAGAAGGAGGAGGUGAAUAAUAGUCCUUGAAUAAGCCUACUUGAAGAAAGUAUGACUGUUAGAUGGUUAAUCAUAAAGCCUCCUGGCCUCUUCAUUUCUUUUGCAUUCUGUCUGUUGCAAUUUAGCAGCAUAAAUUUGGUGUGAAGUAAGAUUUAAAACAAACAAGUGGCUCAGUUAUAUUCCACCAAAGCUUGUCCUUGUUAGAAAGCUGCCCAUUCUCAUAGGAUUUUAUACCAUAUCCAGUCUGCUCAAUAUUGAAUGAUCUGUAACAACCCUGUAAGAACAGAACAGUAUUUUCCUUUAUAAAUUAAAAAAAAAUGGUGGUUCAGGGAAAAAAAAGAA
rnacentral:lncRNA from 1 species